GUGGGGAAUUUUGGACAAUGGGCGCAAGCCUGAUCCAGCAAUGCCGCGUGCAGGAAGAAGGCCUUCGGGUUGUAAACUGCUUUUGUACGGAACGAAACGGUCCGGGUUAAUACCCUGGGCUAAUGACGGUACCGUAAGAAUAAGCACCGGCUAACUACGUGCCAGCAGCCGCGGUAAUACGUAGGGUGCAAGCGUUAAUCGGAAUUACUGGGCGUAAAGCGUGCGCAGGCGGUUUUGUAAGACAGGCGUGAAAUCCCCGGGCUCAACCGGGGAAUUGCGCUUGUGACUGCAAGGCUGGAGUGCGGCAGAGGGGGAUGGAAUUCCGCGUGUAGCAGUGAAAUGCGUAGAUAUGCGGAGGAACACCGAUGGCGAAGGCAAUCCCCUGGGCCUGCACUGACGCUCAUGCACGAAAGCGUGGGGAGCAAACAGGAUUAGAUACCCUAGUAGUCC
rnacentral:rRNA from 1 species